rnacentral:rRNA from 1 species
AUGAACGCUAGCUACAGGCUUAACACAUGCAAGUCGAGGGGCAGCAUGGUCUUAGCUUGCUAAGGCCGAUGGCGACCGGCGCACGGGUGAGUAACACGUAUCCAACCUGCCGUCUACUCUUGGACAGCCUUCUGAAAGGAAGAUUAAUACAAGAUGGCAUCAUGAGUCCGCAUGUUCACAUGAUUAAAGGUAUUCCGGUAGACGAUGGGGAUGCGUUCCAUUAGAUAGUAGGCGGGGUAACGGCCCACCUAGUCUUCGAUGGAUAGGGGUUCUGAGAGGAAGGUCCCCCACAUUGGAACUGAGACACGGUCCAAACUCCUACGGGAGGCAGCAGUGAGGAAUAUUGGUCAAUGGGCGAGAGCCUGAACCAGCCAAGUAGCGUGAAGGAUGACUGCCCUAUGGGUUGUAAACUUCUUUUAUAAAGGAAUAAAGUCGGGUAUGGAUACCCGUUUGCAUGUACUUUAUGAAUAAGGAUCGGCUAACUCCGUGCCAGCAGCCGCGGUAAUACGGAGGAUCCGAGCGUUAUCCGGAUUUAUUGGGUUUAAAGGGAGCGUAGAUGGAUGUUUAAGUCAGUUGUGAAAGUUUGCGGCUCAACCGUAAAAUUGCAGUUGAUACUGGAUAUCUUGAGUGCAGUUGAGGCAGGCGGAAUUCGUGGUGUAGCGGUGAAAUGCUUAGAUAUCACGAAGAACUCCGAUUGCGAAGGCAGCCUGCUAAGCUGCAACUGACAUUGAGGCUCGAAAGUGUGGGUAUCAAACAGGAUUAGAUACCCUGGUAGUCCACACGGUAAACGAUGAAUACUCGCUGUUUGCGAUAUACAGCAAGCGGCCAAGCGAAAGCGUUAAGUAUUCCACCUGGGGAGUACGCCGGCAACGGUGAAACUCAAAGGAAUUGACGGGGGCCCGCACAAGCGGAGGAACAUGUGGUUUAAUUCGAUGAUACGCGAGGAACCUUACCCGGGCUUAAAUUGCAGAUGAAUUACGGUGAAAGCCGUAAGCCGCAAGGCAUCUGUGAAGGUGCUGCAUGGUUGUCGUCAGCUCGUGCCGUGAGGUGUCGGCUUAAAUGCCAUAACGAGCGCAACCCUUGUUGUCAGUUACUAACAGGUUCCGCUGAGGACUCUGACAAGACUGCCAUCGUAAGAUGUGAGGAAGGUGGGGAUGACGUCAAAUCAGCACGGCCCUUACGUCCGGGGCUACACACGUGUUACAAUGGGGGGUACAGAGGGCCGCUACCACGCGAGUGGAUGCCAAUCCCAAAAACCUCUCUCAGUUCGGACUGGAGUCUGCAACCCGACUCCACGAAGCUGGAUUCGCUAGUAAUCGCGCAUCAGCCACGGCGCGGUGAAUACGUUCCCGGGCCUUGUACACACCGCCCGUCAAGCCAUGGGAGCCGGGGGUACCUGAAGUGCGUAACCGCGAGGAGCGCCCUAGGGUAAAACUGGUGACUGGGGCUAAGU